UAUCUCUGAGGUGAGUCUUGUUUAGUGUCUGGUCAAUGGUAACCCCCAGGAUGCUAAUUGUGGGGGAUAUUCGGUGAUGGUGAUCUCGUCCAGUUGCACUCCUGUACAAAUGUUUUAUUUAAAUAAUGUAUUCUGCAUUUAAGGCGUUGAGUUUUACAAUGUGGAGUUGAAUAUUUUGAAUCAUUCUCAGCGGCCCUUGGUAAAAAUUCCAACGGUGCAUCAGGAAAUUGAAAUUUGAUUGUUCUUGUAAGGACAGUGUGGUGAAGGAGUAGAAGCUCCGGCUGUUCACAUUCAUCAAAACUAAAAGCUUGGAACCCGCUUACUGUCUCUGCAUCAGUGGAUUUGUUGUGAUCAGUUUUCACAGAAUGAAACCAUUUCUCACAUGCUCCCUGGUACAGAACUCAAUGAAGGGAAAUGAUCUUUAUGCGAUACGUUAGUUCACAAUUCACUUCAGUCUGCUGGAUAGUAACCCUGCUUAAAAUUGGUUUCUUUGAUCAAACAGGUACACAGAAAAUGAGCGACAAUGAAGAAAAUUCUCCGACACAAGGGGAAGAUAAGGAGAGUAAUGAACACAUACCCUAUAUUGAUGAAUGUGAAGACGAGAGUGGACAAUGAAGACACGACUUGACAGAUUACAAGACAGGUCAAUGUCAGUGAAAACAGAAUGUCACUCUUUUAGACCUCCAGAAAGUGGAUGGUACAAUUUUGUGCUUGAGUUUAGAUCGCCAUCUUGUUCAGUUUUGUGUGUCCAAAUUCUGGGUUGUAUUAUGUUUCGUAAUUGUAAUUUUUGAGGGAAAUAUUUUGGCCUAAUAUUGUGCUUCUAAAUGAUACUUUUACUGCCUGCAACUGGUGUUCGAUUGAUCAGUAGAAAUUAGAUCCGAUAUCAUAUCAGCUUCACAACAGAAGAAUGCCUAACUGUGUUCAUCCCCAUUAAUGCCAGGUAUGUCACACUUUUGAUCCCUGAGUAAAUUUUUACUUAAACCUUGAGCGUGAAGCUGCCAUAAGAGUACAAUACCGAGAGAUCUUGGCCCCAUUCAGUCGGUCAUACUUGUCCCAUUGCUGUUCAGAUGUCUACACAAGGUCAAUGGCCAAUUGCUUCUCUUUUGGGAGAUGGUGCAUGAAUUAAAAAGUUGUUUCACUUCCUUUCUUUUUCCUCCUCUGGCAAUUGCUUGAUACCGCAGUAAAGUUGGUUCCCAGUGUAAAGAUGAAGCAAGAAUGAAAAUUGAGUUGUGGGAUUGGCCAGUGAGGUUGAAGGUGACUUGUCGAAUUUGAGAGGGACACAGAUUUGGCAAAUAAAGGACAAACCAGUUGAUGGGAUAGGUGCUAAGUCUGGUCUCUUUAUGUUUCACUUCUCCUUUAGCAAUCCUUUAGCUUUUUGUACCUUGUUAACUCCCUCCUGGCACACAAAUUGACAGGGUUUGCUGUCUUUGACAGCUCCUCAUAUGCUGAUGUCAAUCUUUCUCUAUUUUGUAUUCUUUUUCUUUUCCUUAAUAUCUUUACAAUACAUGGGCAUCACUGUUGUGGCCAGCACUGAAUAGAAUUCCCUUCCUAAACCUGUCUGCCCCUGAUCUCCACUCCUUUGAGACCGAAUUGAAACCUGCUGCUUUGAUCAAUUAUGCCUCCUUAGGUUUCAGAAAUUGAGUGAUUGCUGUUCCUGUGAAACACCUUGGGACGUUUUACUGCUUUGUAAGGUUAAAGUCAUCAUUGUCUCAGAGGACCAACAGGGCUAUUCUCCUAGUUCACCAUACUGUCCUGAUAAUUCCAUUGGAGAUAGGGCAGUGUUAUCUCUACAUUAUCACUAACAGCUUUGCUUCAGAUGCACUGCACUGAGAAAGUAAAUCUUCUCCCAAAAUAUUUCCAAGAUUUUCUUUUCCUUGAAGUAGCUUUUGAUUUCUCAGAACACCAAGGAGUUUGAACAGCAAAGUCAAAAGUUGUGAUGAUUGUGAGGGGGAUUAACUCCAUUUGCUAAAAGAGAAUCUGAAAUCCUGAUCAUGGCUACACAUCGUUCUGAUCAAUUGAUCAUAAAUUUUUGGUUGACUUGAGAAAUCACAGUGCAACUAACAUGACUCGCUGUUUGCUAACAGUGAUUGGCUUGCAAUUGAGAAGUUGUUUGCAAAUCCUUAAUGCAUAUCUGAAAACUCCAAAGCUGGAGGAUAAUGUUUCUGAUAAGCUUGAAAUAAUUCAGUAUUUAUACAGAGCCAUUCACUGCUAUCAACUGGGAUCUCAUGCUUAAGUGACUAAAAUAUUCAUCAGUAGCUCUAGAGAGUCAGAUUUCCUUUACCAAGGCCCUCACUGCCAUAUAUCAAAGUUCAUUUGACAGGAUGAGUGUUAGUUAAUGUUCCUCCCAGUCUUCUCUCACUCAUUGUCAAUACAGAGUUGCUCAUUCAGGCUGGAGAGGUGAAAUAUGGAUCCAUGAAUGCUUUUCUCUUGUCCCUCCCAUUAUGGUCUCUAAGGAGAGGUCUUUUAAUCUUCUUCUGCAGCUGUCACUUUGACUUAUUCUAGUAUCUCUCACGUUAGAGGUCUGAAACAUUACACAAAAAACAUCUGCUACCCUAACCCCCAACAUUUUGCAUAUUGGUCCUACAGAAUUGCACUUCAAAAAGACCCCUGAGAUUUCACAUUUGAAAGAUAUACAUUUUAUUGCCCUUGGCCCAUAUUUAUUUACCUAAAAACACUGCACCACUCAUAUGGACUAUGCAGGAGAUUGUUAUUUAAUGAUGGCGGUAAGUGAAGCUAGUAAUUACUAGAAUCAACUUUGUUUCCUGCUGGAAUAGAUGGAUAUAAAGUUUUGUGAUGUACAGUACAUUAUUAUAUUACCUCCCUGGCAAAUUACAGCUGAUAUAAUGGGGGCUAUCAAAAUGAAUGAAACUCAACAGAGUUAAAGUGUAAGAGUGAUUGUUCUCAAUAUGAAGCCAGGACGCAGCAAAGUUCAGCUUCAAAUAACUGUCAUUAAAUCAGAAAAAUGGAAUGCUUGCUGUUCAGGUAGAGGCCAUCCUGCCCAUCAACUCCAUGCCAGCUCUCUGCAAGGACAACUCGGCUCAUCACACUCUUCCGUCCUUUCCCUGGAACUCUGCAAACCCUCUAUCUCCUGGCAGCUGCUCAGCACCCUUCUGAAAGCCACCCUCCCAGGCACUGCAUGUGGAAUUCCGCUGGAAGCUGAAGCACUUGGCUCCCUCCUCCAAGAUUGCGUUCCCCACAUAGUAGCAGACGCUCACUGGUCUGGACCUCCCAGGAGCCAAUGGUUCUGAAUUUGUUGUUACCGAAAAGAGAAGGACAAGGUAAUUUCUAAACAAGGAAUGAUCGUGGUCCAUCUACAGUCUAACACGUACCAUCCUGGGGAUCAUACAAUACAAAAUAGUUGAAAUGUUGAUAGUGACCUGUCUCUCUCAAUGAGUCUACAACUGACUCAGAUGUGAGGUGAGGAACCCACUCCACUCCUACCAAGUGUUGGAGACCACUGGGACUCAUAGACCCAAAGUCACAUGUUAUUCUCAAUCUUGCUUCACUCACCAUGUCUUAAAUGUUUUGGAUCCCAACGUGUUACUUUCUGAAGAAGUCCACCACAUUUGCAUCCAAAUACCUUGAUACUCACAGUUUCUAUCACCUCUCACAGGAACCUGUUCUGUAUAUUGAUCACUGACCUACUGAGAGAUUGCAUUGUACAUGAACAUGUGAAUGUACCAUCCAAUGUUGACCCCCAACCCUCAGGCUGUAUACUUGUCUUCUCUUGUUCCAGACAGAGUGUAAGUAGCUCUCUAGCCUUCAAAUGCUAAAAGCAGCAGUCAUAUCACCAAAGCAUAAUGGGCUGAAUGGCCUCCUUCCAUGAUGUUUACUUCUAUAUUAUCUCUCAGUUGUUCUCUUACUCACCAUCAACAUGCACAAAUGAGAAUAAGCUUCUGAUCAGGUCCCCCGUUCUGCACUAUCCUUUCAUCCAGCAGCUAUCCCUUGUAUUCCAAGUGGUCGUCUCAGAAACACUCAUUUUUAAAACUGAAUUUCAACACUUUUAGAAAUAAAAUAACUUUAUUGACAGUUCAUUUAUUUUUUUUUCUCAAAUUGACUUGGGCAUUUCUUUUAAAAUAGGAAAAGGUCCAGCCAAUUGACAAGGAGAUCAUUGAGGGAAUUAAGUACGGCUUGUUGUAUAGUGGUCAGUUCCUCUGUAUUAAUUGGCACCUCACUUGUUAUAGGACUGGCUAAUCUUGGCAGCUAAUGUUGGGCUCUUUGGAAGAGGUAGUGCUCUUGUGUUUAACUGUUUUGCUCAAGGAUACGCUGUCUGGGAGAAGGUUCAUAGACUCGCAGGAUGAUGGAGCACACAGGGAGGCCACUCAGCCCCUUGUGUCCCGUGCCAGCUCCCUAUUAAAGCUAACUCUCUGAACAGGCUGUAACCCUCGACUCAGAUUAACAUUUGGCAGAAUUCAACCCUGUUGUCCCUGAGAUUGGCGUCUCAUGGCGGCGAACACUGGGGUGAGAGGGAUGGUAGAAAUCACAGGGAGGGGAGCUUGAGGUAGGUCUUGACUUCAUGUUGGCAAUGUAAAAAGGACGUUAAUAGAUGAGCAGCCCACUUGACAUCCCACCUGACAAAUAUAAAAUAAUACCAAAAGGGCUAUCAGAUGUGCUGCAUCAUCACUGAAAGUCUAUCCCAUUCAAAUGUCAUGUGAUCUGAUAUGAAACCCUGAUCCAAAUCUACUGUUCAAACCUCCAAAUUUAUCCAAUUUAAAACAAAAAUGUUCCAAACACACACUGUGCCAGUUUUAUGGAUUCUGUAAAGCUGCCUCUUGCAGUGCAUGCUUGCUUUGCUUUAGACUAUGUUUAGAUAGAUGUUUUACUUUCCAUAGACUUUUCAGGAAUACAGUUUUUGUUUCCUUGGAUGCUUUAAGAUUUGCCUUACCUCAUGGUAUGUAAUAGUAACUGGCAGUUGUUUCUUGUAAACUUGAGGCAAGUGGAUCAAAUUGGAAAGUAUCUUCCUGAUCCUAAUGCCUUGUUGUCAACCUGUUAAGUAGCCAGCAUUACACCUUCGAAACAAAAGGUUUUUUCCUCUUCAUCUCUCUCUGUGCCAUGAACUUGGGAUGUUGCCAAAACAAAAUGAUACCUUCACACUUUGUCUGUUUAAUAAAAUGAACGGUAAUAGCA